GGAUCUUUACCUAUUGAGAAGAAUAAGCAGCCAUCACAUGGAUCUUUACCCAUUGAGAAGAAUAAGCAGCCAUCACUAUCCAAAAAGGUGGUAAGAUCUCCAGUCCUUAACAAUGUGGUAAUGUCAUUCUUAGCAAGAAGGGAAAAAAGGCUAAGUCACUAGCAAGCUCCCCUUCACAUCCUUCACUUCUAGCUCUGUCACCAAAUGUAGAAAACUUUGGUUCACGCAGACCACGAAAAUUAAAUUCCAAAAUUUGGAAUGAGGUAGAACCGAUAUAUGUUGAUGGAAUGCUUUCACAAGGUCGUUGCACUCAUUGGAACCAAUUCUUUCCUACCUCGAAAAAGACAGGGACAAGUCAUAUCCUUAAAAAUUUGGGGGUAUGUGAGGAAAAAACUAAAAUGGAUGGUAUGGUUGCCAAGAUUCGAACUGAUAGUGCAAUUAAUCUUGAUUGGAAGUUUGACCAAGGGCGUGCACGUAGAGCACUGGUAAAGUUGAUUGUACUACAUGAAUUACCUUUUACUUUUGUUGAGUACCCUGGCUUUAGGUCCUUUGUUAAGACUUUGAAUCCAUGGUUUGAUGUGGUAUCUAGGGCAAAAAUUAAAGAGGAUUGCAUUGCUUCAUAUCAUAGGCACAAAAAUUAAAUUCAAGCAUUCUUUAGCAGUCUAAAUUCCCGAGUAUGACUAAUGGGUAACAUGUGGACGUCAAAUCAGAAACUGGGUUACUUUUGCAUAACCGCCCACUAUAUUGAUGACUCGUGGACUCUGCAAAGCAAACUAAUCCGAUUUUGCCUCUUGGAAACCCCCACACAAUGCCCAUAACAUGUUUGACAUGGUGCAAAAGAGCUUGAGAGAGUGGAACAUUGAAGAGAAAAUCUUCAGCUUUACCCUGGACAAUGCACGAGUCAAUACCUCAAUGGUUGGCCACUUGAGAAAGAAGUUGGUAGAUAGGUAUCUUCUCCAUCAUAGUGGAAAAUUAUUGCAUGUUAGAUGUGCUGCGUAUAUACUGAAUCUUGUGGUGCAAGAUGGGCUAGAUGCAAUGGCUUCGGUAGUUGAUCGAAUCGGAGAAUCAGUGCAGUAUGUCAAAAGUUCGCAAGGUAGAAUGGAGCGAUUCGAUGAGAUGAUUGCGCAAGUGGGACUUGCUUGUAAAAACCACCCUUCGGUAGAUGUGCCUACAAGAUGGAAUUCAAUGUACCUUAUGCUUGAAUCAUCAUUGCCAUUCAGAGCAGCGUUUGAAUCCUUGAAAGAACCCGACAAAGAUUAUAAAUUCGCUCCUUCAGCUAGUGAAUGGGAGAUGGCUGAAGCUAUUUUCCAUCUCUUGGGCGCUUUCGGGUAGGACAUAUCCCACCUCUCACCUUUACUUCUACGAGGUCUGGAAUGUGAAGCAAAUAAUGGAGAAAGAAGUCUUGAGUGAAAAUCCUACCAUUAUUUCCAUGGUGAAAGAGAUGGAGAAGAAGUGGAUCAAAUAUUUUGAGGAGUCAUUCUUAGCAAGUUGUGUGCCAGUAAUUUUUGAUCCAAGGUACAAAUAUGAAUAUGUUGACUUCCGAUUGACUGCAAGAUUUGGUGAUGACGCCGAGAAAUAGCUUACCCUAGUACACAGUGCGAUGAAGAUCCUAUUUUCCAUAUAUGCAUCUGAACUUGAAAACACUUGUGAUAAAGGUGAUGAGCUUGCAGAGGAGGAUGUCGAGGGCACUCUGGAUGAUUGGGAUAAGCAUUUGAGGUAGAAAAGAUCUCACAACUCGAAUGAGCUGCAACGAUAUCUUGAAGAAGAGUUGUUUCCUCGUCGACAGAACUUGAAGUGGUGAGAAAUCCACUCCCCAAAGUAUCCAGUGCUUGUGACUAUAGCGCGAGACAUAUUGACAGUGUGAGCAUCUACAGUGCCUGCGAAGGCUGCAUUCAGCAAUGCUGGAAGAGUCAUCACUGAACAUAGAAGUAGUUUGAGCCCGAGUACCGUUGAGACGCUGAUGUGCCUCGAGGAUUGGCUUCGGUCAGCCGGUAAUAUGUUUUUAAUUAUUUUUACGUACUUUAUUGAAUAUUAUCCUUGAUGAAUGUUUCAUUUUAAAUGCCUCUGAUAUUCUAGAUAGCCAAAAGGUGGAACUAACAGUCGGAGACCAUGGUGGUGAUCAAGAUGUUGCUGGAACCACCUAGGUAAUUUUUCCAUGUUGCCUUUAAUUCUCAUGUACUAGAUUAACUUUUGAAGGAUGGCUACAUGUAUUAAUCUGUAAACUGGACUGUUCUCAGAGUUCUGGAGCAGUCAACUGUCAGCAUCAGAAUGAUCCAUGGCUUCUUUCAACAUAUAUGAAGUUUCAGGGAAGUGUAGCUUCAGAUAAUCAUCAUUGAAGAUUUUGCUAUCCUAGUAGAUAAUCUUGAAUCAUUUUGAAUGUUCAAGAUAAUGCCCAUGUACGAUCCAGGUAGUAGUUAUGAUUAAAUUACACUUCAUAUAAUCAUCGUGUUGCUUCCCGCAUUGUCGCCAACCUGGUCGUAGUUAUGAUUAAAUUACACUUUCAGGGUGAUAAUGCCCAUGUACGAUCCUGGUUGUAGCUUCAGAUAAGCAUGAUUCAAAAAGUGGAUAAUAGUCGUACAUGUUGUAUACAUUUAAAAAGUGGGAACCCACUUGAUCCCACUUAACCCACUUAAAUUUUAGUCGAUUGUUGGCUAUAACCCACCAAAACGUGUUGGAAUUAAGUGGGAUGUGGUGGGACUCACGCUAUUAGUCCCACCUGCAGCCUGACCCCACACGCCAGCUUUGUAAUCUGUCCAGAUUUGUCCUAAUCACAUUUUAUGUU
rnacentral:lncRNA from 1 species